CGGCAACGGCGUAAUAGCUCAACCGAAGCGCUGUCACGGUGAUUUAGAACCAGUGUGUCUCUCCUGCAGCCUCCAUUCUGGGUGCCUCCACCCCCUUGCCGUCGUCAUGUUGCAUCCUGUUUCUGUCUGAAAACCCUUGUCUUUCUGAAUCCAUCUUUCAGUCUCUCACGUUCUGUCUCUCCCCUCCUCCUUCACCUUCCCUCCAUCCCUCUCCCUUGCGCACUUGCCGGGUACCAGCUGAGUGCAUCCUUUUCCCAAACCUGCUCUGCUUCCAAGGGGCCCUUUUCUGUCUCCUCCACCUGUCCCCAUGUUUUGGGGACUGCCUGGAAAUCUGGGACACCCUCCUGAGGAGGGAGCUGGUGCCCAACGGCACCUCUUAGGAUGAACCCCGCCAGCUGCGUUCCUGGCCUCUGCAGAAUGGCAUACAGAAGGCAUUUUAAGCAAGCGAGCUGAGCUCGCCGCAGGACUCCGACUACCAGGCACCGGCAAGAUGUGGGAAUCCUGACAGGUUGCCGCUGAAGAUCCUGCAGUUGGUGUGUGCAAGCUGACAGCCAGGCCGCUGCCGGAGGAAGGGGGUCCUCUGUGCUUUGCAUGUCUCUGGGUAUUUGGGAAACUUGGCAGCCAGUUGCUCUAAGUGAACCCUGACUCUGGAGUAGGCACUGGGCACCCUGGCGGAGAGGACAGAGCCGGAGACAAGGACUGGCCUCAGGGAGUUUCCAGUUCAAAUAGGAACAGACCCGAUCACACGCGAUACGCUCACCCUCAGACACAUUGCUGCUGCCUGCAUUUCCUCCGGGCUGCCAUCCCCCUUCCCCUGCCCUGGCCUCUGUCUGCCACGGCUGCCCUUGUCUACCUGCCAAGCUCUAAUUAUCGUUAAACAUCCCCUGUCACUGCUUCCCGGAAAUCUUUAACUUCCACCCAAGAACAG
rnacentral:lncRNA from 1 species